rnacentral:rRNA from 1 species
UAGAGUUUGAUCAUGGCUCAGGAUGAACGCUAGCGGCAAGCUUAAUACAUGCAAGUCGAGGGGCAGCAUGAAGUAGCAAUACUUUGAUGGCGACCGGCAAACGGGUGCGGAACACGUACACAACCUUCCUUUUAGCGGGGAAUAGCCCAGAGAAAUUCGGAUUAAUACCCCGUAACAUAACGAUGUGGCAUCACAUUGUUAUUAUAGCUUCGGCGCUAGAUGAUGGGUGUGCGUAUGAUUAGAUAGUUGGCGAGGUAACGGCUCACCAAAUCUACGAUCAUUAGCUGAUGUGAGAGCAUGAUCAGCCACACGGGCACUGAGACACGGGCCCGACUCCUACGGGAGGCAGCAGUAAGGAAUAUUGGUCAAUGGACGCAAGUCUGAACCAGCUAUGCCGCGUGAAGGAUUAAGGUCCUCUGGAUUGUAAACUUCUUUUAUCUGGGACGAAAAAAGGUCUUUCUAGAUCACUUGACGGUACCAGAUGAAUAAGCACCGGCUAACUCCGUGCCAGCAGCCGCGGUAAUACGGAGGGUGCAAGCGUUAUCCGGAUUCACUGGGUUUAAAGGGUGCGUAGGCGGGCAGGUAAGUCAGUGGUGAAAUCCUGGAGCUCAACUCCAGAACUGCCAUUGAUACUAUCUGUCUUGAAUAUUGUGGAGGUAAGCGGAAUAUGUCAUGUAGCGGUGAAAUGCUUAGAUAUGACAUAGAACACCCAUUGCGAAAGCAGCUUACUACGCAUAUAUUGACGCUGAGGCACGAAAGCGUGGGGAUCAAACAGGAUUAGAUACCCUGGUAGUCCACGCCCUAAACGAUGGAUACUCGACAUACGCGAUACACUGUGUGUGUCUGAGCGAAAGCAUUAAGUAUCCCACCUGGGAAGUACGUUCGCAAGAAUGAAACUCAAAGGAAUUG